UCUGGAAUCGUCUAAUAGGUAGGACAUAGAUUUUUGAUGUCUACAAGUGAGUGUUCGAAUCGCUCUUCCAGAA
rfam:Cordyceps confragosa RCEF 1005 scaffold_114, whole genome shotgun sequence.